UACCAGUAAUUUUUGAGGCCAUGGUGCUCC
rnacentral:piRNA from 1 species